CCUACGGGUGGCUGCAGUGAGGAAUCUUGGUCAAUGGGCGCGAGCCUGAACCAGCCAAGUAGCGUGAAGGAUGACUGCCCUACGGGUUGUCAACUUCUUUUAUAAAGGAAUAAAGUGAGGCACGUGUGCCUCUUUGUAUGUACUUUAUGAAUAAGGACCGGCUAACUCCGUGCCAGCAGCCGUGGUAAUACGGAGGAUCCGUGCGUUAUCCGGAUUUAUUGGGUUUAAAGGGAGCGUAGAUGGGUUGUUAAGUCGGUUGUGAAAGUUUGCGGCUCAACCGUAAAAUUGCAAGUGAUACUGGCAGUCUUGAGUACAGUUGAGGUAGGCGGAAUUCGUGGUGUAGCGGUGAAAUGCUUAGAUAUCACGAAGAACACCGAUUGCGAAGGCAGCUUACUGAACUGCAACUGACGUUGAUGCUCGAAAGUGUGGGUAUCGAACAGGAUUAGAUACCCGUGUAGUC
rnacentral:rRNA from 1 species